UACGUAGGGAGCGAGCGUUGUCCGGAUUCAUUGGGCGUAAAGAGCUCGUAGGCGGCUUGGCAAGUCGGGUGUGAAAACUCCAGGCUCGACCUGGAGACGCCACCCGAUACUGCCAUGGCUAGAGUCCGGUAGGGGACCACGGAAUUCCUGGUGUAGCGGUGAAAUGCGCAGAUAUCAGGAGGAACACCGGUGGCGAAGGCGGUGGUCUGGGCCGGUACUGACGCUGAGGAGCGAAAGCGUGGGGAGCGAACAGG
rnacentral:rRNA from 1 species